rnacentral:piRNA from 1 species
UGACAGUUGACUUUUAGAAGCAGGUGU